rnacentral:lncRNA from 13 species
GGAGGGGUAUCUCAUGAAGGAGGGGUAUCUCAUGAAGGAGGGGUAUCUCAUGAAGGAGGGGUAUCUCAUGAAGGAGGGGUAUCUCAUGAAGGGAGGGGUAUCUCAUGAAGGGAGGGGUAUCUCAUGAAGGGAGGGGUAUCUCAUGAAGGAGGGGUAUCUCAUGAAGGAGGGGUAUCUCAUGAAGGAGGGGUAUCCUACAAAAGAAAGCUACAUCGACUCUGGGUUUUCUACAGCUAACCAGCUCCAGUUAGCUUCACAUUCCAGCUCAGGCUUCAUCCGCACUACAACGGAGGAACCCAAAAUAUAAACUGUUUUAGUCCAGUGUUUGUAAACAAUGUAAAUGUCAAGACACUGUAAAGUCUUUAAACAUGGUACAUGGUUAAAACUAUCAUUUGUAUAUCAUGUAU